GGGGAAUAUUGGACAAUGGGCGCAAGCCUGAUCCAGCCAUACCGCGUGGGUGAAGAAGGCCUUCGGGUUGUAAAGCCCUUUUGUUGGGAAAGAAAAGCAGCGGGCUAAUACCUUGCUGUUCUGACGGUACCCAAAGAAUAAGCACCGGCUAACUUCGUGCCAGCAGCCGCGGUAAUACGAAGGGUGCAAGCGUUACUCGGAAUUACUGGGCGUAAAGCGUGCGUAGGUGGUUGUUUAAGUCUGUUGUGAAAGCCCUGGGCUCAACCUGGGAACUGCAGUGGAAACUGGAUGACUAGAGUGUGGUAGAGGGUAGCGGAAUUCCCGGUGUAGCAGUGAAAUGCGUAGAGAUCGGGAGGAACAUCCAUGGCGAAGGCAGCUACCUGGACCAACACUGACACUGAGGCACGAAAGCGUGGGGAGCAAAC
rnacentral:rRNA from 1 species